GCGGAAGUAGCUCAAUGGUAGAGCGCUGGCCUUCCAAGCCAGUGACGCGGGUUCGAUUCCCGUCUUCCGCU
rnacentral:tRNA from 1 species